GAUGAACGCUGGCGGCGUGCCUAAUACAUGCAAGUCGAACGAGGUGCUUUUGUAGCAAUACGAGAGUAUCCUAGUGGCGAACGGGUGAGUAACGCGUUGGUGACCUACCCCAAAGUGUGGGAUAACAGUCCGAAAGGAUUGCUAAUACCGCAUGUGGUCUUCGGAUUUAGAAACUGAUGACUAAAGGAGCAAUUCGCUUUGGGAGGGACCUGCGUCCCAUCAGCUAGUUGGUGAGGUAAUGGCUCACCAAGGCUACGACGGGUAGGGGACCUGAGAGGGUGACCCCCCACCAAUGGAACUGAAACAACGGUCCAUACACCUACGGGUGGGCAGCAGUAGGGAAUAAUUGCACAAUGGGCGAAAGACCUGAUGCAGCAACGCCGCGUGUGCGAUGAAGG
rnacentral:rRNA from 1 species